UAUCUAUGUACAUGUAUGCUACACUUUUUAUUGCACUGUAUUAUAAGCAUAUAUUAUAAUUAUCCUUCAUUACCUUUUCAUUUACCUGGUAUUAUUUUAUCAUAGGUAUUAAUUAAAAGGAUCCAUCAGAUUGUCCAAUGUUAGGUGAAUGUGUUCAUAGAACUCUGUGGCUCAUUAAAAAGAUAUUCUCAUCACAUCAAAGCUAAUUGGAGCAGUUUCAACUUCCAAGUGUCAUGCAGAGAAUGCUUCACUAGCUGCUUUCUUGCCUUCUAUCCUUCAGCUCUUCUCAAGUGGUUCUCACUUUGUACUCUACUGCAAAAAUAGAUCCAUAUGAUGCUAUUCCUGGUUUCCUUGAUAAUAAUUAACUACGCUGUCACGCCCAUUCAUUGAAAUAAUUCUAUAACUGUUGGACAUGUCUUUAAUCUUGUUGCCGAGAGCCCAACUGCUAUGGAUUGGAAUUAUACAUUCUUUUCUCUCCUAAGAAUUACACACUGGGUGACAUUGAGAUUCUUAGCAUAAAGUCUGUAGGUUAGUUAGCAAAAGAGGGAAAGAUCGAUUAGACCAAUCAGAUUCAGUUUACAAAAAUCAUAGAAACAGCCACCAUCUUGAAAAACCGACCUCAAUCCUACAUAUAGGCUACCACCUAUAUAAUGUACUUAAGGAUGGAGGACACUGGGCAGUUAGUGGCUGGGAGCAUUCCAGCUUAAGUACUCUGGAAUGAUAGAAACCAAUCACAUACAAGGAUUUUGGUAUCCAGUUAGAAGACUGCUGAUUAUAUGUUUUGAUAUGACGUUUUGAGGCAGAAUUUGGCAUUGGAAGAAGGUAUUGAAAAGGAGAAAUAGAGGCAUUUUGAUUAAUAAUGACAUCAAAAGAUACCUCAAAGAAACACUGGCAGAUCAGUAAA